AAGUUUUCGUGGUUUCGCCUGGGU
rnacentral:siRNA from 1 species